AGUGAACGCUGGCGGUAGGCCUAACACAUGCAAGUCGAACGGCAGCACAGUAAGAGCUUGCUCUUGCGGGUGGCGAGUGGCGGACGGGUGAGGAAUACAUCGGAAUCUACUUUUUCGUGGGGGAUAACGUAGGGAAACUUACGCUAAUACCGCAUACGACCUACGGGUGAAAGCAGGGGAUCUUCGGACCUUGCGCGAUUGAAUGAGCCGAUGUCGGAUUAGCUAGUUGGCGGGGUAAAGGCCCACCAAGGCGACGAUCCGUAGCUGGUCUGAGAGGAUGAGCAGCCACACUGGAACUGAGACACGGUCCAGACUCCUACGGGAGGCAGCAGUGGGGAAUAUUGGACAAUGGGCGCAAGCCUGAUCCAGCCAUACCGCGUGGGUGAAGAAGGCCUUCGGGUUGUAAAGCCCUUUUGUUGGGAAAGAAAAGCAGCAGGUUAAUACCCCGCUGUUCUGACGGUACCCAAAGAAUAAGCACCGGCUAACUUCGUG
rnacentral:rRNA from 1 species